UACGUAGGGUGCAAGCGUUGUCCGGAAUUACUGGGCGUAAAGAGCUCGUAGGCGGUUUGUCGCGUCGUCUGUGAAAACUCGAGGCUCAACCUCGAGCUUGCAGGCGAUACGGGCAGACUUGAGUACUGCAGGGGAGACUGGAAUUCCUGGUGUAGCGGUGAAAUGCGCAGAUAUCAGGAGGAACACCGGUGGCGAAGGCGGGUCUCUGGGCAGUAACUGACGCUGAGGAGCGAAAGCGUGGGUAGCGAACAGG
rnacentral:rRNA from 2 species